UUUAUUAUGCUUUAAUUGCGAACCGCCAGGGCGAGAGAUGGAGCCACGGAAAGGCUCGUGCUCGUGCUCUUCUAGUUUCAGUCUGAUUUUCUGUUUGAUUAAGCUGUUCUCAUUGUCUUCAGACAUGGUGAAAUAAUUGUUUUUCUUGGUUUAUUCGGCGGGUCUCUGUUCUUCUUUUCUGUGUAUCCAAAGCUGCGCGCCAAGUGUUUGAUGAAAUGCCUGAGCCAUGCCUUUUUUCCUACAAGGAUUGAUUAGAUCACUUUAUUGCUGGCUGAUGAUGGUUGUGUUCACAGAUACGAAGGUAUUACUUACUGAAGAGCUGUAUGGAGAAAGCUUCCAGCUUUCGAAGCCUGGUUUAGACUCAGCUUCACAUGGUGCGGAUGGUUACGAUUUUGGAAAUGACGAUGGAUCUUUAUGGGGAAGUUCAGAUGAAGAAUCAAAUAGAGCAUCCUUGGACAGGGAAUGGGAGAGAAGGCGUGAGCAAUUCCAUGCGGUUCCAAUUUAGCUGAUUGGAUACCGUGACGGGAUUAUUGCUGGGAAAGAAGCUGCUGCACAGGAGGGAUUUAACAUCGGCUUUAAGCGAUCUAUUCUUGCUGGCUACAAGUUUGGUCUUGUUAGAGUGCGCAGGCCUUUCUUCCAGAUGAUCUGAGAGAAAAGUUGACUGAUGAACGAGAAACGAAAGAGAAAUUUCAGAAAUUGCACGAGUCCGUGCACACCCUUUCAACAGAAGACGCUGCUAAGUUAUUUUAUGGAGCUUUAACAAAGAAGGAAGCCAAAGAGGAAGUCGGGGAAGUAGGGUCUCACUCUACCAUUGCUGGUCCCUUACAAAGUUAUGUUGUAGAGUUAAGUUAUCUUCUCAACAAAUCUGCUAAGCUUGAACUUAGAUUGGCCCCAGAGAGACAGCUUGUUCCGUGAGUCUGUUUGGAUAUCUCAGUUUAUUUCUCAAGUAUGAUGUCAAAACAGAAACUUGUGUUUAGGCGACAUGUUUAGAGUAAGUAGUUAAAGUACAUUUUAAUGCUAAUGUAAUGUGAAUGGUAUAUAAGGAUCUCUGAUGAAGUAUUCUUGUUUUUUCUUA